AUUGAACGCUGGCGGCAUGCUUUACACAUGCAAGUCGAACGGUAACAGGUCUUCGGAUGCUGACGAGUGGCGAACGGGUGAGUAAUACAUCGGAACGUGCCUAGUAGUGGGGGAUAACUACUCGAAAGAGUGGCUAAUACCGCAUGAGAUCUACGGAUGAAAGCAGGGGAUCGCAAGACCUUGUGCUACUAGAGCGGCCGAUGGCAGAUUAGGUAGUUGGUGGGAUAAAAGCUUACCAAGCCGACGAUCUGUAGCUGGUCUGAGAGGACGAUCAGCCACACUGGGACUGAGACACGGCCCAGACUCCUACGGGAGGCAGCAGUGGGGAAUUUUGGACAAUGGGCGCAAGCCUGAUCCAGCAAUGCCGCGUGCAGGAAGAAGGCCUUCGGGUUGUAAACUGCUUUUGUACGGAACGAAACGGUCCUGGUUAGUACCCGGGGCUAAUGACGGUACCGUAAGAAUAAGCACCGGCUAACUACGUGCCAGCCGCCGCCGUAA
rnacentral:rRNA from 1 species